AAGGAAGCCCUCAGCCUGAGCUCUACCUCCUGCCCACCCCACAACAUUCGUCCAUGGAAAAACCGGUCCCUGGUGCCAAAAAGGUUGGGGACAGCUGGCCUAGGGAAUGUGUGCCUUUCCCUUGAGAGCCAUGAAUUGAAAACAUUCCUGACGGCUGGAAAUGCUGCUGCCUACCAGCCUGUCACAGACGGCUUGGACCACCGGCUGCCACCUCUGGGCAGCUCUCUGGUGAAGAUCAUUUUUGCUGCACAGCUCCGCCUGCCCCCACCACUGGACCCACAGAGCCCCCGGGUGCAUCGAGAGCUACAAGGCGAUGACUGUUGAACCCAGCUUUAACCCUCUUUUGGACUCAGAAGACAAGGUUGGACCGUGACC